UUUGAAAGCUGCUAGGCACUUGAAUGCAAGGCAUAUUUCUUGAAAGAUCACAAUUUUUCAGGAUGUAAGACAAAUCCAUGGCAAUCCUCAGGUCGGUACUGUUACUACUCCUGUGGCAUGGAUGCGGAGAUUAAGUCACAGAAGGUCCUUUGCAAUCACCAGUGGCAUCCGCUGAAUUGGUUUUGGGAGCCCUCAUUCAUAUUUGGAGAAAUCGCUGAUGGCUGUGACAUUUCUUGUUUAUUGAUAUGGCAGGAGAUAUUUUCACUUCAUAUGCCCAGCGUGACUAUAUUUGGCAAUGGGACCUUUAAGAAGGCAAAUGAGGUUAAACAAGAUCAUAAGGGUGGAACCUGUGGCUAAGACUUCACACUCCUAAUGCAGCGGCCCCAGGUUUGAUCCCUGGUCAGGGAACUGGAUCCCACAUGCAGCAGCUAAGAGUUCUUAUGCCGCAACUAAUGGUCCCACAUCCCGCGAUGAAGAUGGAAGAUGCUGAGUGCUGCAACUAGGAGCCAUUGCAGCCAAAUAGAUAAAGUUAAAAAUAAGGGCGGGCCCUAACCCCAAGGGACUAGCGUUCUUUUCUAAGAGGAGGAAGGAACAGCAGAGAGCUGUCUUCUCUCUCCACGUGGGCGACAUCUAUAAGCCAGGAAGAGGGGCCUCACCAGCAACCAACCUGGAGGCACGUUGACCUCGGGCUUCUAGUCUCCGGAACUGUAAGAAUCUGAAUCUGCUGUGUAAGCCCUUGAGUCUUGCUAUCCCGUUCCGGCCGCCUGAGCAGACGGACCCACCCGUGCGCCUCAUUUACUGUGUGCCCCGCUUCUGUGGGCAUCGGAGCUCGAGACUCCUGCUUUACAUCCUUGAGAGUUGAAAGUGAAUGUCCACGUCCUAUGCUUUGUCUCCUGGUGGGGAAACAGUUAAAUGGAGACAUCAUUUGCGACAGGACGCAACGUCAGAGAUAUACAAACGGAUAUCAAAGGACAGAACUGUCAGUGGGGGGCAUGGAAGGGAGAAGAGAAGUUUCCACUAUGUGAAGAGCAUGUCGAAGGGUUUUAAGAGACUCAGAAGAUUUCAGUGAACAGCGAUGGAGCAGAAGGCAGAA